GAAAAAUGCUUUUAGAGGAAUUAAAAAAAAAAAAAAAAAAAACACAAACGAAAAAUUAUAAGCGAGAGAGGAAUUAUGUGUAGUUUGGACCGUAGCUUUUGCUACCUACACUUUGUUUUCGUCAAAAUAAAUGCAACGUUCCGAACGUGACAUCGCUUGCAAGCUCAAAAACCUGAAAACCGUGCUAGCUAUGAAAAGAGUCAAGAGUUAAUACUUCAUUUUCAGUUUAACGAUGAACUAAAAGCGAGCCAUGAAUGAAUUCAGUUGGUCGUAAAAUCUCUUCGAAUACUUGUGAAAAAUAGAAAUUAGAAAUCCUUCGAGAUUAGCCUGUCAGAUUAUCGUGAUAACUUGAACGGACAGAAGGACGGAUAUAGGUUUCAGCCUAAUCCAAAAACCUACUUACGCAGAAUAGCCAAAAAAGAUGUCCACAUAAAGGAAAGUCUAUAGACAAACUAAGUGGAGAGAUUGACUGACUGGUCACUCUGGUCACUCUUUUGCUGUAAUUAUAGGAAUAUACGAACUUCCAGGCUUAAGCGAGAUAUAUCGGCUCCUUGGCAUUUUUUCAUAGGCAUUAUUAUUAUUAUUUAUUUAGGCCAAAAAAAAGAAAAUCUUAAACUGAAGUUGGACGAGCACUAACACUACCAACUAACCUUAUCGGUCUUCUUCUUUUUCUCCUUAAAAAGAUAGACUAGACGGUUACUCUAGCCUCUUUAAUAGAGUUAUGUACAUGUUAUUGAUAUUAAGUUUUUUAGAUACUUUCGAUAUGCCCAUAAAGUAAGAAGCUUCGCACACGAAUCUUUAAAUCUUGGAAAAGUUUUCGUAUUCUCAAGCUAUAAGUUUAAUCGUAAGUGUGUAUUCGACAAUCGCAAAUUGGAUAGAUGGAUAGAUUUCUUAAGGAUCGAUUGCUGUAUCACAAAGCCGACGUUGUCUUGACAUUGAUCGGAUAAAUGGGUGAAACAAAGUUCGGAUUAACAUGUGGGUAGUGUGAUGAACGGAAUCACUUUCGAUUUCUUUCAAUUUUUUCUUUUUUAUUAUAUUGUUGAAUGCCAAUCUUUUCCAUUACACCGUCCGUAACUCAAGGUGUGAGGUCUGCUCGUCUUGUUACAUAAAAAAAUUUAAUUUUGUACAUCUAAAUGGACUGAUAUUCUUUACUUUGUUAAUAACGUACCGGCUGGAAUGCAAGGGAUUUCAGAUAAUUUUCAUGAUCGAGAAAGUACCUGUGACAGGUAACCACUUUAAGCUCAGUCUUGAGGGCAAGAUUUGCGGCUUGAACUUGAAGUUACUCUCUGCCCAUCUACUGCUGUAUAAGCAACGUGCAAAAGAAAGAUGUUAACAAUUAUUUUGCAAAGAGAGAGAGAGAGAGAGAGAGAGAGAGAGAGAGAGAGAGCAAGAGAAGUAGAGAGGGACUGGUUUCUUUUUUUUCAACGUUUUCGCCGAGCCCCCGGGAAUCUACAGUUUAAGAGUUUCGAUGUAAUUUCACCUGUUAACUCAUACACUUUAUUUUCUAAAAUUGGGAGAAGCGAUCUCGGCAAUAAUGCUCUUGAGGAGCGUCGUUCGGAAAGCAUAUGCGCUGGUUUUGGUUACUUGGCGUUAAACUGAUUGCGGAAUGUUUAUAAUUGAUUUGACGUUGUUGCCGUACAUGAUUAAUCCAUAAUCAAUUGUACUAAGAAAAAACAGAAAUUUUUGGUAGAAAUAGACGAAAAACAUUAAUCGUACCGACAAAUACACGAAAUACUCUUUAUUCGAACGACACCGGGAUCUCUUGUUCAGUAGAUCACCAGCCUUACUCCGACGUUUAUUACGAAUUAUUCGGUGACUCGGUGACAACUACUUUUAUUCCACUUUUCGUUAUACCAGGAGGAAAUUUUUUUAACAAAAAA